UGUGUCUUCAGUGGCCUCUGAAUCAGCUUUUAGCACCGGGAAGCGCGUGCUGACUCCAUGGAGAGCUUCUAUGUCUACAAGGACAGUCGAAGCAUUGCUCUGUACACAAAGCUUUCUUCAAAAGCCCAUUGCUCUUGAUCUUCUAUGUGACUAUAUACCUGAUGAUGCUGUUGAAGAUGAGGCAGCCAUAUGGGAUUCUCUGCUAAAAGAAGCUUGAUGUAAACUCCGUGUCAGUGACUCAGUGCAGCCAGUGCCAAUUGUUCGAGAAGUCCCCCAUCCUUUGCAAGGAUUUCUUUUCAUUUCUUGUCGCAGACUUAUGGAAAUGUUGUUUUUAGUACUAUGUUUUAAUGUUGAACUUUGAACUUAAAGUGUGAUACACUUAUUAUUCUGUGAUGUUUUAAACCUUUGUUAUUUUGAACUUUGUAAUGUUGAACUUAGUCUUAGACUCUUAGUCUUAGGUUGUUA